rnacentral:lncRNA from 1 species
CGCUCUCACAGUGUUGGGAGCUCAUGGCAGCAUUCCUCACAUGUUUGAUUUUCUUGUUUCGAUGUCUAUCUACCAUAGGACUCAGCUGGACAAAGAAUCCACUUAUUUUUCACACACUCACCCCCAAAGAAUGUCUACUUUGGUCUUUUUGUGGGAAACUUUGGCUGCUGACAACUUCACUGUUUCUAGUGGGGCAAGGUAAGGACUGAUCAUUCUGUUUUCAAUUUCCAAUAGAUUUUAUGUGUAAAGCCAAC